GACGGGGCCCGCACAAGCGGUGGAGCAUGUGGUUUAAUUCGAAGCAACGCGAAGAACCUUACCAGGUCUUGACAUCCCCUGACAACCCGAGAGAUCGGGCGUUCCCCUUCGGGGGGCAGGGUGACAGGUGGUGCAUGGUUGUCGUCAGCUCGUGUCGUGAGAUGUUGGGUUAAGUCCCGCAACGAGCGCAACCCUCGACCUUAGUUGCCAGCAUUCAGUUGGGCACUCUAAGGUGACUGCCGGCUAAAAGUCGGAGGAAGGUGGGGAUGACGUCAAAUCAUCAUGCCCCUUAUGACCUGGGCUACACACGUGCUACAAUGGUUGGUACAACGAGUUGCGAGUCGGUGACGGCGAGCUAAUCUCUUAAAGCCAACCUCAGUUCGGAUUGCAGUCUGCAACUCGACUGCAUGAAGUUGGAAUCGCUAGUAAUCGCUGAUCAGCAGGCAGCGGUGAAUACGUUCCCGGGCCUU
rnacentral:rRNA from 1 species